CAGCCUCAAUCUACAUUAUUAUUGCUGGCUGCCGACACAUUCCCGAACCUGCCAGCCUUUCCCUGGAGGUUUGGUUAACUAGGCUCGGAGCCGAGGCUAGGAUAUUCGUUUAUUUAUCCCCUUAAUCCUUUUGAUCCACAAAGAUUAACGUGCUUAGCUUUUCCUCAUUGGUCGUCAAGGAUAAAUCUCUCUCUGCUUUCAUGCAGAGAAGAGUGAGAGAAAGAGACAGAAACAUUAGAAUAGCACAGAGGAAGAGUGAAGAGCGACAGUGACCGUGAGCUAUAUUGCAUGUGACCGUGAUACUGAUACAAUCUUCAUCACCAUUGGCUACAGCCGGCAAGAGCGUAUGUACUGCCUUCACCAUUACCAUUCAACAAAGUUAUCAGUUUUCCUAUGAAAUUCAAUCAUUUGCCACUGUAUUCUCUGUUCGCAGCUAUUUUCUGGGAUACCCAUUCGGCAUUUCUUUCUGAUUAGGAAGCUGAGCAAGCAUAUGAACUGAAGCUUUCAAAUUCAACAGCUACUGUCACUCUUAAGCAAGGAUGCUUUCGGCAAAAUCCGAGUCUGAUAUCACCAGCUUAGCUCCGUCGUCACCUUCAAGGUCCCCCAAGCGCCCUGUAUACUAUGUACAGAGCCCUUCAAGGGACUCUCACGAUGGCGACAAGUCCUCUUCUUUGCAGGCCACUCCAAUCUACAACAACAGCCCUAUGGAGUCCCCUUCUCACCCGUUUUUCCGGCGCCACUCGAGGAACUCCUCGGCCAGCCGGUUUUCCGGGAUUUUCCCGUCGUCCUCGGGGAGAAAAGGAGCCAGGAAGAGGAAUGACAAGGGGUGGCCCGAGUUUAAUGUGAUCGUGGAAGAAGGAGCUUACGAUGAACUACAUGACAAGGCGGUUUCAGGCUUUAAUUGCCUUGUUUGGUUUUGUGCUCUUGUUCACUACGUUUUGCUUGAUUAUAUGGGGAGCUAGCCGGCCAUACAAGGCGGACAUUACCAUAAAGGUAUGCCAAGUUCCCUUAUUUGCUGUCGGGUAUUUAACUCAAACUAGUCUUUAUCAUAUAAUUAGUAGUCUCAUUAGGAAAUUUGAAGCGUGAUAAUGAAGGAUAUAAACAUUGUGGCAAUUAUGUUCUUUUCA